UUACUUGUCUUUAAUGACAGACACAUUACAGGUUAUGCUCCGGAAGAUGGAGACAUUGGAGGAGAACCAGCGAGAGGCUCUCCUAUUCAGGCGACUACAGGGCAGACACACUGAAGAGGUGCCAGUGAUGGACCUACAGGUGGCCCAAACCCAGGCUGAACUCCAAGACCUUGAGGAGUGCCUUAAGGUGCUGGAGUUGCGAAAGAGAGUGACGCUGUGAUGAAGUGGAAGACGGGACUGGGAGAGAAAGCUGUGGAGCUCCUCAUAGAGGAGACACUCAAACACACCCCGGCAGCCCAUUCAAAACAAGCCAGGGCCAACAGACAGGACCUGUAGCGGGGACUGGCAGAAGAUUUUAAUUGGGUGUGCUCAAGCCUUCGGCGAGAGCACACCAGAAACGCCACAAGCAAAGAGGCCAGGUGAUAACUAUUUACUAAUUUUACUUUGUGAUAUGACACACAAUUGUGAUGUGUAAUGUACAAUAUAAGCUGAUAUUAUUAAGGAAGUACAUCUACUUUCGGAAACAGUAGUCUACUAUUUCACUGAAGUAUUAGCAUCAUGACAUUAGCCUGUGUUGCCCGGGCAACACAUACUACAGUGGUCUAUGAU